rnacentral:rRNA from 1 species
GAAAAUGAUCCUAAUUAUCCUAAAGGUACCAGAUCCCAUCUGAUCUUGGAAGCCAAGCAGAGUUGGCCCUAGUUGGUACUUUGAUAGGAGACUGACAAUGAAUAACCGAUGCCAUAGGCU